rnacentral:rRNA from 1 species
CCUACGGGCGGCAGCAGUGGGGAAUAUUGGGCAAUGGGCGCAAGCCUGACCCAGCAACGCCGCGUGAAGGAAGAAGGCUUUCGGGUUGUAAACUUCUUUUGUCAGGGAAGAGUAGAAGACGGUACCUGCCGAAUAAGCCACGGCUAACUACGUGCCAGCAGCCGCGGUAAUACGGAGGUGGCAAGCGUUGUACGGAUUUACUGGGUUUAAAGGGCGUGUAGCCGGGUUGACAAGUCAGAUGUGAAAGCCUGUGGCUUAACCGUAGAACUGCAUUUGAAACUGGUGAUCUUGAGUACUGGAGAGGCAGACGGAAUUCGUGGUGUAGCGGUGAAAUGCGUAGAUAGUAGGAGGAACUCCAGUGGCGAAGGCAGUCUGCUGGACAGCAACUGACGGUGAGGCGCGAAAGCGUGGGGAGCAAACAGGAUUAGAUACCCCGGUAGUC